rnacentral:misc_RNA from 1 species
GGGAGGGUUUGGAUGUAUGUGUAUAGCUUCAUACAUUUAGUUUUCCAGUUGUUUGUUUUUGUCAUUGAUGUUGUCUCUGUGGCUUUACAAAUUGAAUUUGGUGAUGAUUUUCUGAACUUUUGAGGCACUCUCAUGGUUUCAAUAAAUAAAUGCUGGCAUAUGAUGGAGUUUCUACUCUUUAUAUUUGUGGAUUUGCAACCAAAUGAAUAGCAAUCAAGCAUCUUUUGUCUUGUAUUGUGAUUUUUUAUGUGUUUUCUUUAUAUUCUAGUUCAAGCAAGAACAUAAAGCAUGCCCAGAUAUGUUUUGAAAGUCAAGAGUUUGGGUCCCCUAUUCGGUCUGUGUCUGUUAUUUCUUUUAAGGUCAGAGUUGUCAUGCUUAUAUUACAUUUGUCAAGCGUUAGUUGGAAUCCAAGGUCAGUUAGAUGUGACAACUGGUGAAGGUAGCAGCUUAG